AUGGUCGAUAGCUUGGACUACUCGGUUUGCUUGGAAGCACAAGAGCGCCCUAGGUACGAACUUACCGGGCAGAGGAUGAAGAGGACUGAGGCUGAAUCGACUGACCUGGACCGCAGCAUGCACGGCGGCGGCAGCGGCAGCAGGGUGUCCGGCGGCUACAACGACUACUGGAACUGGAGCCCCCCGGACACCGGAUACUCGAGCUCCCCAGUGGUGUCGGCGGCGGUGUCGGCGAGCAAGAGCAACGUCGUCGUCACGAGGAGGCUACGCGGCCGGACGCUCAACGGCAAGCUCUACGCCCUCCGGAGCGUCGUCCCAAACAUCACCAAGAUGGAUAAGGUGUCCAUCCUCAGGGACGCCGUCGAGUACAUCCAGCAGCUGCAGGAGCAGGAGCGCUGGAUGCUCGCCGAGAUAUCCAUCCUUGAGUCGGUGGCGGAGGUACAUGGCCAUGGCCAGCUGCUUACUGCUACACUACAGCCCGUCCUUCCGAACGGCUGCGCCGGACACGCCAUGCCGCCGCUGAAGAAAACGAGGACCCAUUCAUUAUCGCCGGCGGUGACCCCCACCCCCGCAUCCGCCAUGGCAGCCGCAUCUCCGCCGGUCGAGGCUGUCGAGGUGAGGGUGACGGGCGCUGGCGAUAAGCUGCUGGUGGUGAGCGUCGCGUGCCGCCACCGGAAGGACGCCAUGGGCAAGGUGUGCCGCGCGCUCCAGAGCCUCCGGCUCGCCGUCAUCUCGGCUAACGUCACGGUUGCGUCCGGGACGGUGACGCACACCGCGCUCCUACAGAGACAGGAAAUACAUAAGAGCGAGAUGAAGGAAUUGAUCGAGACUGCAAUCGCCCAUGUUGAUGUCGCAGGAAGUACUCUAGGGAAGUUAUGA
rnacentral:rRNA from 1 species